GAUCUCGUUUUAAAUGGAAUAAGGAUAGUUUCGAUUCCCAUAUUAGUGCUGCAGUUGUUUUAGUCCACCAGAAAGCACAAAAGAUCUCUGCGGCACCGACUGUAAGGCAAGACCCGGCGCUAAUGUGGUAAAAAAUGUUUAUUCAUGGUUCUGGGUAAGGAUAUCUUCUCCAAAGAAAGUUUGGAACAAAUGCAUGGAUUAUAAAGUUUCUGAAGCGAACGGAGACGAAGUCUGGUACAAGUUGGUUAGUCAAAACGUUGUUCCUGAGAGAGGACGUUGCUCUACAGCCAAGCCGCAUAUUUACGAUGGAAUUGUAGUUGUUCCUGAC